AUGGUCCUCGCCACCGUAAUCGCCUCCAUCACGUACGCCUCGGGCCUAAGCCCGCCAGGCAGCUUCGAGAAAGUGCCGGAGCAAAUUGUACGAGUCCCCAGUCCUCCACCUCCGCCUCCAUCGCUUAUCCCUCCGGAUAUAUCAGAUCCAACUAUACCGCCUACCACCUAUGGGGAACAGAUGAUUCCUCUUCUCUUCAUCGUGAGUCCUACCAGGUGCAGGAUCUUCUACUACAGCAACACCGCCGCCUUCGCGCUGUCCCUCUCCAUCAUCCUGCUGCUGGCCAGCCAGGACCUGCUCAGGCUGGCCAAGAUCAAGGCCCUUGAGAUCCUUGUGGCACUCAACGUCAUGGCCUUGCUAGUGGCGUAUGUCGCCGCGGCUUCCUUCGGCUCGGUGCAGCUCUUGGUCUGCGUUGGGCUCGUCCUCGCCGUGCCGGUGGCCCUCGUCGUGAUGUCCUCCCGCCUGUGCGGGAAUUACUUCUGGGAUGGACUCUGA
rnacentral:rRNA from 1 species